UACGUAGGGAGCGAGCGUUGUCCGAAGUUACUGGGCGUAAAGCGCGCGUAGGCGGGCUGUUAAGUGAGAGGUGAAAGGCUGGGGCUUAACCCCAUGCAGUGCCUCUCAUACUGGCGGUCUUGAGUGCGGCAGGGAGAAGUGGAAUGGCUGGUGUAGCGGUGAAAUGCGCAGAUAUCAGGAGGAACACCGGUGGCGAAGGCGGGUCUCUGGGCCGUAACUGACGCUGAGGAGCGAAAGCGUGGGGAGCGAACAGG
rnacentral:rRNA from 1 species